rnacentral:rRNA from 1 species
GACGAACGCUGGCGGCGCGCCUAACACAUGCAAGUCGAACGGGGCCAAGAGGAGCUUGCUUUUCUUGACUUAGUGGCGGACGGGUGAGUAACGCGUGAGUAACCUGCCCUGGAGUGGGGGACAACAAUUGGAAACGACUGCUAAUACCCCAUAAGCCCACGGAUUUGCAUGGAUCUGCGGUAAAAGGAUUAAUUCGUUCUAGGAUGGACUCGCGUCCAAUUAGCUAGUUGGUGAGGUAAAGGCCCACCAAGGCGACGAUUGGUAGCCGGACUGAGAGGUUGAACGGCCACAUUGGGACUGAGACACGGCCCAGACUCCUACGGGAGGCAGCAGUGGGGGAUAUUGCACAAUGGGGGAAACCCUGAUGCAGCGACGCCGCGUGGAGGAAGAAGGUUUUCGGAUUGUAAACUCCUGUUGUUAGGGAUGAUAAUGACGGUACCUAAAGAGAAAGCACCAGCUAACUACGUG